rnacentral:rRNA from 1 species
GAUGAACGCUGGCGGCGUGCCUAAUACAUGCAAGUCGAGCGAACAGACGAGGAGCUUGCUCCUCUGACGUUAGCGGCGGACGGGUGAGUAACACGUGGAUAACCUACCUAUAAGACUGGGAUAACUUCGGGAAACCGGAGCUAAUACCGGAUAAUAUAUUGAACCGCAUGGUUCAAUAGUGAAAGACGGUUUUGCUGUCACUUAUAGAUGGAUCCGCGCCGCAUUAGCUAGUUGGUAAGGUAACGGCUUACCAAGGCAACGAUGCGUAGCCGACCUGAGAGGGUGAUCGCCCACACUGGAACGGAGACACGUUCCAAGCUCCUACGGGAGGCAGCAGUAGGGAAUCUUCCGCAAUGGGCGAAAGCCUGACGGAGCAAAGCCGCGUGAGUGAUGAAGGUCUUCGGAUCGUAAAACUCUGUUAUUAGGGAAGAACAAAUGUGUAAGUAACUAUGCACGUCUUGACGGUACCUAAUCAGAAAGCCACGGCUAACUACGUG